GCGGGUCACGAAAAGGGCCUUAUCAGCUUCCCAAGCUGAAUGUCGUCGGUUCGAUCCCGAUCGCCCGCUCCA
rnacentral:tRNA from 3 species